AUGUGGUGCGACGUUCGUGGUCUGCGAGCGGUUGCCCUGGGCAGCGUGGGCUGCGGGCAGCUGGGUUGUGCGGCGUUGCUGCUCGAGCGGAGCGGUGGUAUGUCGGGGCGGCGGCCCCGGAAGGUGGUGUCGGUUGAUUGCACUGGGCGCGACGGAGCGGUGGAUGUCAGGGCGGCGGCCCCGAGAGAAUCACGGUGGCGUCCAGACUUCUGUGGCAACAAUGAUGGUGGGAGCGAUGUCGGCGACGCGGCAAUGGUUGCGAUAGUCGGUUCUUCUCCGGCGUGUCCACGGUAUUGCCUCGGUUUGUUUGUUGCUAUGGAGUCGAAGCUGCGGCGGCGAGGCCCUGUGGUGUACGAUGACUGGCUCCAUGUGGCCUUUCGGCGAUCUUCCGCGGCGCCAGCCGUGCCUGGUUUCGUUCUUCUGAGUUUUUCGUCAGAAUCGGAGCUGCGUUGUCUGUCCGCAGGUCGACAUGUCGUCGAUGAGGGUGGGCUUUGCCCUGUGUGUUUCAGUUUAUGGGAGUGGGCUUGGCCCUUGUUGUUCCGGUUUUUGCCCGGUUUUCCGUAA
rnacentral:rRNA from 1 species